UCUUACCAGGUCCAGACAUAUGGAGGAUUGACAGACAGUUAACCAAAACGCAGCAGCUAGUUUAACAAAACUAACAGCUCUUUCAAGAUUAUGUGGUAGGUGGUGCAUGGCCGUUCUUAGUUCGUGAAGUGAUUCGUUCGCCCAAUCGCAUUUCCAAACAACUAACAACUCAGAAUGCUGGGCAAUAGGACGUUUAAAGUGGCUCCUUACACCUUACAAAGGAAUGGCUGAUGAGAAACAACUCGAUCCGCUCAGCGUUCUAUUGGAAUGCAACGGACGUGAUUGCAAGCUUUUGUUUUGAGUUGCGGUUUUACUGAAAGACUCUACAAUCCGCAAACUUCAAUGAUCUGAAGUAGAAAACCUACAUGCUACAGUGAGAUAUUGUGGAUAAACUUAAGCGACCGCUCCAACAUUGUGUUUUUUUAAAACUGAUGAAGGUUGCGGCAAUAACAGGUCUGUGAUGCCCUUCGAUGUCCUGGGCUGCACACGUGCUACAAUGGCUAGCGCAGUGAGCAUAUUUCAACCGAAACAUCGGUUGGCUGUUCUGAUUGACCCCUUCUGGGUCUCUCUGUAACACUACCGAUGAUCCCUCCUCUGAAAAGAGAGGGUAAGCCGUUCGAAAUUCUGGUAACGAUUCCCCGUAGUUAAGCAAACUUAAACCAUAGUGGUGUCAAACGGGUCCGCUUCCAUCGGAAAAGAUUCCUCCGGAAAAAGGCUUAUGCAGGCAUUUCACGUAUGCUCCUAUAAAUUCCUGGUAGGGAUAGUCUAUUGUAACUGGUAGACUUGUCAACUAGGAAUGCCUUGUACGGG
rnacentral:rRNA from 1 species